CGUUGGCAAUGCCGGACGGAUUCGACUCCCGAUGAGACGGCGUUGCAUAUGUCGAGGACCUUGAUGGCGCGGUCGAGGAGCUCAGGCAUGAGGCGAUCGAGAGGGGGCUUGGCUAGAUGGGAAGGCUCCCGUCCCAUGAUGAGUACGGCUUUGAAUUCCGCCUCGCAGCAGAGGAAGACGUCGACCAGCUUUCGGAGCCAGGAGAUGGAGAGGAGGCCGGAAGAUUCUCCGGCGGCGGC
rnacentral:lncRNA from 1 species